rnacentral:lncRNA from 1 species
GGAUUAACUUAUUAAGUUAUCUGUACAUAUGUCACAUGACCUCUGUGGAAAGCAGCAUGUUUUAAUUAUGUUCACAACAUUUUAUGUAAUUAUGCAGUAGCUUAAAUUUAUAAUUAUAUUUUCUUGUCCUCGAUAUGCAUGAAAUAUUUCCUGCUAGAUGUUAAGCAAACAACAAUCAAUCAAUCAGAAAGUUAUGAUGUGAAUAAAAAAAAAGUAUUUUCUAACUGUAGAUUGGUCCCUCAUAUCAAUAAGAAAUAUUGGCAGCAUCAGCUUAUUUAAAUUUUUUAAGUUAAUUAGAGGCAGAUUAAGGGGAGAGAGGGGGCAAGGGGGCCUAGACCCCUCUUGUGUGGGAAAAAUUAAGUUGAAUAUUUAGGAAAUGACUGAAGCAGUCCCUCUUAGGCAUUCAGUGCCCUGAUGAAAAUUUCUGGAUCUGCCACUGGUAAUUGGAUUUUUUUUCAAAUGGUGAUAGAGAAAGAAUUUGAAUAACAAUAAUUUCAGACCUACAACAUCUCUUUGAUUCUUAACGUAAAUAUAAAAUAUAUAUGGAUCUAUAGAUAGGAUUUUGUAACAUAAAAGACGAACAUGAUUUUUUUUUAAUAAUUCCACAUAUGAAUUUAUAAAGAAAUGGCAAAAAUGAAAACAAAUGUGAUAAUCAGAACG